rnacentral:lncRNA from 1 species
AUUUCUAAGAGUUGCCUCGCCAAGAUAAAUAAUUUAUGAUAGAAUAUCAUCAUAGCUUUUUUAAAGUAAUGUUCUGUAUAUAUUUUGGAUGAAAUCAUUGAUUUCACUAACAAUUAGACAGUAAAAAGCAAUUGUAUUGAAACUUAAUAGUUGCCUGAGAGCAAAGCCUCAUUCUCAAAUUAAUAAAAUAAUACCUUUGGAAUAAAAUAUAAACACUCAUACUUUGCUAACUUGGAGAGCUAUUCAUUUGCCUGUUUGGAUCAUGUUAUUGUAAUAGGAAAAAAUGAUUGUAUGAAAACGCAACAAUGGACACAAAAAAAAAAACGCACAAAAUAGUAAAAUUAAUACAAAAUAAAUAAUAGGAUGAUAAACAUGGGAAAAAACAAUAAUCAAUACCAAACCUUCAAAUAAGCAAUAGCUUUUCGCCUGUGACAAAAAAAAUUAGUGAACUUGAUUACAAAAUUAACACCAGUUUUAUCCUAUAAAAUGUGAUCAUCCAAAUUAAAUGAAAACUUCAAAAAUUCAUAUAGUAGGAAUCAAUGACAAACCUUUAAAUUAGUAGUAAAUGUGACAAAUUAACAAAAUUAGCACCACUCUCAUGCCAUGAAAUCUGAACUAUCAUCCAAAUCAAAUCAAAUCAAAACUCCAAAAAGUCAGCAUAGCACAACAAUCAAGUAAUUGAAGAUUCUCAAAUGCACAAAAAUCUCAAAUGCACAAAAAUCUCAAGCUUUGCGAUCGUCCCUCUCCCACACUACAGUCAAGUAAUUGAAGAUUGUAUUUUCAUUAAGACCAGAAAAUCAAUAAUUGCCAUGACAACCUCUCUGGGCUCUCAAAAUCCUCUUUCCUCCACAAUGCAAAGCUCUUCUUCUUAACCAAGUCAAGAAAACAGAGAAAAAGUAACCUGAAUAAUGAAGAACUAAAUAUUAAAUUUUGCCCACAUCUCAUAUUCAAAAUAGAUAAUUCAUCUAAAAGCUGGACUUUACUUUCUCUACUAUCAACAACAUGUAAUUUCUUUAGAAAUGAAAUCCUACAUUCCAAACUUUCUAAAUUACCUACCAAAAAUAAUGAUAAUUUACAAAUAAUCAAACACAAAUUAUGACCUUGAUAAAUGAAAUUCAAAGUAAACAAUCAAGAGAGUACACAGUAAAUUACUUACCAAGAAAAUGCAAUUAAAGGCCAAAGACAAAAAGAGAAAUUAAAAAGAGAGCAGAAAGAAGCAAAACAUUUAUGAGAUUGAGAGUAAAUUGAAGAAAAC